rnacentral:rRNA from 1 species
GUGCCUAAGGUAUGCAAGUCGAACGAUUCCUGUAUCUUCGGAUACAGGGAGUGGCAAACGGCUGAGUAACGCGUAGGAACCUACCCCAAACUCGAGUAUAGCCCCGCGAAAGCGGGGGUAAUCCUCGAUAGCCUGUGAAGUAUUUUACUUCACGGUAAAGCUUUUGCGGUUUGGGAUGGGCCUGCGUCCUAUCAGGUAGUUGGUGAGGUAAAUGCUCACCAAGCCUAUGACGGGUAGCUGGUCUGAGAGGAUGGUCAGCCAGACUGGGACUGCGACACGGCCCAGACUCCUACGGGAGGCAGCAACUAGGAAUUGUGCGCAAUGGACGAAAGUCUGACGCCGCGACAUCGCGUGGAGGAUGAAGGUCUUCGGAUUGUAAACUCCUUUUCUUACCGAACAAGUUCUGAGCGUAGGUAAGGAAUAAGUGCCUGCUAACCACGUGCCAGAAGCAUCGGUAAUACGUGGGGCACGAGCGUUAUCCGGAUUUACUGGGCGUAAAGAGAAGCGUAGGCGGCUCAAUAAGUUUGGUGUUAAAUCUUCCGGCUCAACCGGAAACAAGCACCGAAAACUAUCGAGAUUGAGUCGAGUAGGGAAGAGGGGAAUUCCUGGUGGAGCGGUUAAAUGCGUAGAUCUCAGGAGGAAUACCAAGGGCGAAGGCACCUCUUUGGACUCGUACUGACGCUGAGGCUCGAAAGCGUGGGUAGCAAAACGGAUUAGAUACCCGUGUAGUCCACGCCGUAAACGAUCCCUGUUAGAUGU